CCUCCAGUUGUUUUAGGACUACAGUUCCCACCAUCCCUGACCACUGGUCCUGUGAGCUAGGGAUGAUGGGAGCUGUAGUCCCAAAACAGCUGGAGG
rnacentral:miRNA from 1 species